rnacentral:snRNA from 1 species
UGGUUUUAAAAACUUAUUUAUUAACAUUAGAGCAGUACAGAGAGAACUAGCACAAAUCCUAUACAAGGAUUGUAUGAAAAUUUAUGAGGAAUUUCACAUUUUU